AUGGCUCAGGAUGAACGCUAGCGGCAGGCUUAACACAUGCAAGUCGAGGGGCAACGCGAGUAGCAAUACUUGGCGGCGACCGGCGCAAGGGUGCGUAACGCGUGAGCAACAUGCCCGUAUCAGGGGGAUAAUCCAGGGAAACUUGGUCUAAUACCCCAUAGUAAUUUUGUAAGGCAUCUUAUAAGAUUUAAAGCUUUGGUGGAUACGGAUUGGCUCGCGUGACAUUAGCUGGAUGGUAAGGUAACGGCUUACCAUGGCUAUGAUGUCUAGGGGUUCUGAGAGGAAGGUCCCCCACACUGGAACUGAGACACGGUCCAGACUCCUACGGGAGGCAGCAGUGAGGAAUAUUGGACAAUGGAUGGAAAUCUGAUCCAGCCAUGCCGCGUGAAAGGAAGAAGGUCCUAUGGAUUGUAAACUUCUUUUGUAUGGGAGCAAUAAGGCCUACGUGUAGGUUGAUGAGAGUACCAUACGAAUAAGCACCGGCUAACUCCGUGCCAGCCGCCGC
rnacentral:rRNA from 1 species